rnacentral:rRNA from 1 species
AAACUAACAAGGAUUCCCCUAGUAACGGCGAGUGAAGCGGGAAGAGCUCAAGCUUAAAAUCUCCGUGCAAGUUUUGCGCGGCGAAUUGUAGUCUAUAGAGGCGUGGUCAGCGUGAGCACUUGGGGCAAGUUCCUUGGAAGAGGACAGCAUGGAGGGUGAUACUCCCGUUCAUCCCUGAGUUGCUCGUGCGUACGACCCGUUUUCUUUGAGUCGCGUUGUUUGGGAAUGCAGCGCAAAGUAGGUGGUAAAUUCCAUCUAAAGCUAAAUAUUGGUGCGAGACCGAUAGCGAACAAGUACCGUGAGGGAAAGAUGAAAAGAACUUUGAAAAGAGAGUUAAAGAGUACCUGAAACUGCUGAAAGGGAACCGAAUCGUUUCCAGUGUCUAUAAUCUGUGGCAUAUUUCAUUGGCGAGUGUGUGCGUGCGUGUGCUGUGGCAGUGGCUUUUUUGGCUGCGCUCGGUGUGUGUGCUGUGUGUGCUUGCUGGUGCCCUGUGCUGCGGUGGGACGUCAAGGUCAGUUCGUAUGCUGCGGGAAAUGGCUGCCGAGGAGGUAGGGCUUACGCUUGCGUUUGUCUGUUAUAUCUUGGUGGACGAGUAGUCGCGGUUGGGACUGAGGUGCCUACAACGUGCUUUUGAGUGUGUCUGUGUCUCCGUGUGCGCCGUGUGCGGAUAGCUUGCUAUGCGUGUGUGGUUGUGUGUGGAUUGAUGCCGGGCUUUAACUUGUUGCCGUUCGGGACGUUGACGAAAUGGAGCGAUCCGACCCGUCUUGAAACACGGACCAAGGAGUCUAACAUGUGUGCAAGUGUUAGGGUGUGGAAACCCCAGCGCGAAAUGAAAGUGAAGGGCAGCGCAAGUUGUCUGAGGUAGGAAACGUUGUGGGCUUCGGUCUGCGGCGUGGCACUAUCGACCGAUCAUGAACCUUCGUGGUGAAAGAUUUGAGUUUGAGCACAUAUGUUGGUACCCGAAAGAUGGUGAACUAUGCCUGAGUAGGGUGAAGCCAGGGGAAACUCUGGUGGAAGCUCGUAGCGAUUCUGACGUGCAAAUCGAUCGUCAAACUUGGGUAUAGGGGCGAAAGACUAAUCGAACCAUCUAGUAGCUGGUUCCCUCCGAAAUUUCCCUCAGGAUAGCAGCAACUUAUUUACGAUAGUUUUAUGAGGUAAAGCGAAUGAUUAGAGGAUUCGGGGAAGAAACUUCCUCGACCUAUUCUCAAACUUUAAAUCUGUAAGACCUGCAGGUUUCUUAAUUGAACUUGUGGAUGUGAAUAUCAAGUUGCUAGUGGGCCAUACGGGGUAAGCUCGUCUGGCGAUGCGGGAUGAACCGAACGCAAAGUUAAAGUGCCAAAAUACCCGCUCACCUAGAUACCAUAAAAGGUGUUGGUUCAUUUAGACAGCAGGACGGUGGCCAUGGAAGUCGGAAUCCGCUAAGGAGUGUGUAACAACUCACCUGCCGAAUGAACUAGCCCUGAAAAUGGAUGGCGCUAAAGCGGGUUACUUAUACUUUGCCGUUAGCGCGAUAGCAUGUGUAAUGUACGCGUUAAUGAGUAGGAGGGCGUGAGGGUCGUGAAGAAGCUCGUGGCGUGAGCCGAGUAA